CCCCACUGCUAUCGGGGUGGGACUAAGACAUGCUAGUCGAGCGCCUUGGGCUAUGGCGAGGCGCGGCGUACAGCUCAGUAACACGUGGCUAACCUACCCUUAGGACGGAGACAACCCCGGGAAACUGGGGCUAAUAUCUGAUAGGUGAGGAGGCCUGGAAUGGUUCUUCGCUGAAAAGGCGUUGAAACCAUGCUUUUCAGCGUCGCCUAAGGAUGGGGCCGCGUCCGAUCAGGUUGUUGGUGGGGUAACGGCUCACCAAGCCUAUAACCGGUACGGGCCGUGAGAGCGGGAGCCCGGAGAUGGGCACUGAGACAAGGGCCCAGGCCCUACGGGGCGCAGCAGUCGCGAAAACUCCGCAAUGCGCGAAAGCGUGACGGGGCUACCCCGAGUGCCGUCCGCUGAGGAUGGCUUUUCCCCGGUGUAAUGAGCCGGGGGAAUAAGGAGAGGGCAAGUCUGGUGUCAGCCGCCGCGGUAAUACCAGCUCUCCGAGUGGUAGGGACGAUUAUUGGGCUUAAAGCGUCCGUAGCCGGCUUAGCAAGUCUUCUGUUAAAUUCAGCGACCUAAUCGUUGAGCCGCGGGAGAUACUACUAGGCUAGGAGGCGGGAGAGGCCGACGGUAUUCUCGGGGUAGGGGUGAAAUCCUAUAAUCCCGGGAGGACCACCAGUGGCGAAGGCUGUCGGCUAGAACGCGCUCGACGGUGAGGGACGAAAGCUGGGGGAGCGAACCGGAUUAGAUACCCGGGUAGUCCCAGCUGUAAACGAUGCGGGCUAGGUGUUGGGGUGGCUACGAGCCACUUCAGUGCCGCAGGGAAGCCAUUAAGCCCGCCGCCUGGGGAGUACGGCCGCAAGGCUGAAACUUAAAGGAAUUGGCGGGGGAGCACCACAAGGCGUGAAGCUUGCGGUUC
rnacentral:rRNA from 1 species